CUCCUUGUAAUUUAGAGCGUUGUCCUCACCAAACCACCCAGAGAACAGGAACCGAAACUCCUAAGUAAGUCUGCGGCUAAGUUCAGGACCACACUCCCCGGCAAGUACUGCAGAAACGACACAAUUCUGUGACUUCUAGGACAAGUGGAGGUCUCCAUUUAAAACUACUCUGUGGGAAUGAAUCUUUAACAGCAGCAAAAUAUCUUGAAGAAAUGGGGGCUUGUUUCUGCUGCUUCCUGCCAUCCUGUAACAGAGACACCAGAGAAAGAGUGUGGCAGAAGUUGCAUCAUGUGGAUUUUGGAGCCUACGCCUGAAGAGCCCUGCAUCUUCUGCUUUUGUCCUCCUGGGAAACUCCCUUUCACAGUGCUGUCUUUGCUGUGGACAGAUGCCCCACC